rnacentral:rRNA from 1 species
AUUGAACGCUGGCGGCAGGCCUAACACAUGCAAGUCGAGCGGAUGAAGGGAGCUUGCUCCUGGAUUCAGCGGCGGACGGGUGAGUAAUGCCUAGGAAUCUGCCUGGCAGUGGGGGAUAACGUCCGGAAACGGGCGCUAAUACCGCAUACGUCCUGAGGGAGAAAGUGGGGGAUCUUCGGACCUCACGCUAUCAGAUGAGCCUAGGUCGGAUUAGCUAGUUGGUGGGGUAAAGGCCUACCAAGGCGACGAUCCGUAACUGGUCUGAGAGGAUGAUCAGUCACACUGGAACUGAGACACGGUCCAGACUCCUACGGGAGGCAGCAGUGGGGAAUAUUGGACAAUGGGCGAAAGCCUGAUCCAGCCAUGCCGCGUGUGUGAAGAAGGUCCUCGGAUUGUAAAGCACUUUAAGUUGGGAGGAAGGGCAGUAAGUUAAUACCUUGCUGUUUUGACGUUACCAACAGAAUAAGCACCGGCUAACUUCGUG